rnacentral:tRNA from 1 species
CAAAUUAUAACUUUUAGAAAGUAUUAUUAUUUACAUUAAUGAGUUAGUUGUGCAAUUCAACUUAAUUUGA